rnacentral:rRNA from 1 species
GAGGACCUACGGGGCGCAGCAGUGAGGAAUAUUGGUCAAUGGGCGGGAGCCUGAACCAGCCACGUCGCGUGAGGGAAGACGGUCCUAUGGAUUGUAAACCUCUUUAAGCGGGGAGCAAUGCCGGGCACGUGUGCCCGGAGGGAGAGUACCCGCAGAAUAAGCAUCGGCUAACUCCGUGCCAGCAGCCGCGGUAAUACGGAGGAUGCGAGCGUUAUCCGGAUUUAUUGGGUUUAAAGGGUGCGUAGGCGGAUUUUUAAGUCAGCGGUAAAAUGUCCGGGCUCAAC